rfam:Aedes aegypti strain Liverpool supercont1.129 genomic scaffold, whole genome shotgun sequence.
CAAUCGGCCCUUUUCAGGGCCAAUAGAUAUGUACUAAAGAGUUAGUU